rnacentral:misc_RNA from 1 species
GUGGCUGCUACGGAAGUGCCUGUGUGGCUGGUGUGUUAUUACAUGCUGUGUUUGACUUCACGUUGGCGUUUCAUAUAAAGUGUUUUAGUGACUUUCUUGUCAAGUGCUGAGAGGGCAGUUUCAUGAUGGCGGACAAAGUACCUUCCAUACGUCUCAACAGCGGAUACGACAUGCCUAUGCUGGGCUUAGGGACCUACAACAGUUUCCGGCCAAACGAGGUUGGUGAUGCCGUGAAAGCCGCAAUAGAGAUGGGAUACCGCCAUAUUGACACAGCAUGGCUCUAUAAAACGGAACCGGAAAUCGGAGUCGCCAUUAAAGAACUGAUAAAAGAAGGAAACGUAACGAGGGAAGAGCUGUUCAUUGUGACGAAGAUAUGGGACAACUGUCAUGAGCCGGAGAAAGUGGAGCCAGCAUGCCGAGCGUCAUUGGAGGCCCUGGACAUGGAUUACAUAGAUCUGUACCUGAUACAUUUUCCUCUGUCUUUUGCUGACUUUGAGCGGACCAAGCCGACCGCGACGGACUACCUGGACACAUGGAGAGCCAUGGAGAAGCUCGUGGACAAGGGCCUUGUCAGGUCUAUCGGCGUCUCCAACUUCAAUAAACAACAGCUGGAGAGGAUUCUCAAAAUGGACGGUCUCAAGUACAAGCCUGCGAAUAACCAGGUGGAGAUAACUCCAUAUCUGGCCCAGGAAGACCUUCUGCAGUUCUCCCUCAAGAACGGCAUCUCAACUACUGCCUAUGGUCCGUUCGGGGCACCGGGACAGAACUAUGUACAGGAGGAUGCACCAAAGUUCCUUGAAAUUCCAACCAUUGUUGACAUCGGAAAAAAUAUGGCAAGUCUUCAGCUCAGGUGAUCCUCAGAUGGGGCAUACAGCGCGAGGCUAUGCUAUAGUUCCUAAGAGUACGAAUCCAUCUCGUCUGGCCCAGAACAUGGAUAUAUUUGACUUUGAGCUCA